GACGAACGCUGGCGGCGUGCUUAACACAUGCAAGUCGAACGAAGAGCGAUGGAAGCUUGCAUCUAUCAAUCUUAGUGGCGAACGGGUGAGUAACGCGUAAUCAACCUGCCCUUCAGAGGGGGACAACAGUUGGAAACGACUGCUAAUACCGCAUACGAUCUAAUCUCGGCAUCGAGGAUAGAUGAAAGGUGGCCUCUACAUGUAAGCUAUCACUGAAGGAGGGGAUUGCGUCUGAUUAGCUAGUUGGAGGGGUAACGGCCCACCAAGGCGAUGAUCAGUAGCCGGUCUGAGAGGAUGAACGGCCACAUUGGGACUGAGACACGGCCCAGACUCCUACGGGAGGCAGCAGUGGGGAAUCUUCCGCAAUGGACGAAAGUCUGACGGAGCAACGCCGCGUGAGUGAUGACGGCCUUCGGGUUGUAAAGCUCUGUUAAUCGGGACGAAAGGCCUUCUUGCGAAUAGUGAGAAGGAUAGAC
rnacentral:rRNA from 1 species